GAGUUUGAUCGUGGCUCAGGAUGAACGCUGGCGGCGUGCCUAACACAUGCAGGUCGAACGGAGUUUAUGAGGAAGAAGCUUCGGCGGAAUUCCUAUAAACUUAGUGGCGGACGGGUGAGUAACACGUGGAGAACCUGCCUCUUACCGGGGGACAGCAGUUGGAAACGACUGAUAAUACCGCAUAAGCGCACGAGACCGCAUGGUCCUGUGUGAAAAGAUUUAUCGGUAAGAGAUGGCUCCGCGUCUGAUUAGCCUAGUUGGGCGGGGUAACCGGCCCAACCAAAGCGACGAUCAGUAGCCGGCCUGAGAGGGUGAAACGGCCACAUUGGGACUGAGACACGGCCCAGACUCCUACGGGAGGCAGCAGGUGGGG
rnacentral:rRNA from 1 species